rnacentral:lncRNA from 1 species
GAAUAAAUAAAAGCUUGGCAGUAGGAAUUAAGUUGUUAUAAGGAGAGUGAAGAGAUUCUUAAACCUUGUGUUGUGGACUGGAAUUUAUGGCUCCCUCACCUUCCUCUGCACCCCUUGUAUUCAUCCAGUGAGGAGAGAAGGGCGGGUUCACACUUUAUAUCUGGGCCGUCUGUCCUGGGUAGCAGCCGACUAUGACCAAAGAUGCCUUCGUUGUGCGUGGGUUUUUUAUUUUGCUUUGCUUUUUGUUUUUCCCAUUUCAUUAACCAUUCAACAAAAAGUUUUAAAUGGAAAGCAUUUUGGGAAACACUGCUUGGUUUGUCCAGGACCUUUAGGCUUCAGAGGGAUGCAGCCAGCAUCUCGGGAGAAUUUACAGCAAUCGAGAGAGUCGCAGCCCUUAGAACAGCUCUAGUUAGCAUGUGGACCACUCUGUUGCCCGCCUGUGUGUUCUCACGGAUGGAUGUUCUGCCUUAGUUUUUAAACAACACCUAAUUUUGGAAAUACCUCUGUUGAGGAGCCUCAUAUUUUUUCCAGAAUAUGUCUGCCGUGUAUAUUAAAUUGACUAAACACUCAGAUGGAGGAGCAGAAACUGGCCCCGGAGAGGCUGUUACAGAGAAGGGAGGAGGGGCAGAAAUGGGACCAGUUCUGAAAAUACACUAAAAUUCUGAUUGAAGUACCAGAUCCAGUUCCACAGAGGCUUCUUAGGAACACUCAAACUGUUGAAAAUAAAAUGGAAAAAAAAAAAAGCGAUUACACUCUGGCUCCCAUGUGUAAUUGUUUAAUGAACAUGAUGUGGUCUGUUUCUUCUUCUUGACAUAUGGCUACUGAUGAAGGAAAAUUCUAUUUUGAUUACAGAGUGGCCUUCAGCAAUUGGACACUCUGAGAGAUGACAAACAGGCCACAUCGUUUUCUUCUUGCUCACCAGCCACUUUCUGGCAGUUCUUGACAGGUCGGUCAUAAACACACACACACAAAAUGCUAAGUUAGUGGGUUGCUAGUUGUCUCCUUCAAGUUGAGAAGGCACUUUUUAAAAAUUAAAUUUUCCUUAUGUCUACUUUUUUUCCACAUCCUGAACUCUGACAUUCAAGUGCACUUCACAGAUCGCCUCGUAACAACACUUGAAACCCAAAUUCGGAACGCCCAGUGAAGCCAUUCCUUAGGAAUCUGUGGUGAGGUGCCAGGCUAAGGCCUUAGUGUUCCUGAAACAAGCAUGCUGUAGCUGAUUUUGUGGCUUCACCUAUCCGUCACUGGAGUCUCCUCAUCCAAAGACUUCAAGGAAAACCUGGAGAGUUUGAAGAUCAAGAGGGUGUUGUGGUUGGUAAAACCAGAUGGUUGGAGCAUCACUAGACUGGACCAACAGAAUCAAAUGUCUCUAGAGGUGUGAUGAGCAGCCACUAAGGGCACCAAACAAGGAUGAGCAAUGAUCACUUUGCUGUUUGGAAAGAUGAACAGUAUGGAGAGUGGCUUGGGAAGAUGGAAUCCCCUGCAGAAGCUGAGGGACUAAUGGUAUGUCUACCAGGGUAACAAAGGCAAGCUGGGGCCAUGUAGGUGAGAUAUUCUUAUUCAAGCAAAGUCCAUGGUGAAGAACCUAAGAGACUAGGUGACUUACUUGGCUAGAAACAGUAAGAAAGAGGAUGACACCAAGACUCUGGUUUGUUUCUGAAGAUUCUUUGAUGUUCAAAUAUUGCAUUUUCCCCAACAUAUUCUCAUUCCUCACAGAAUUCUCUCAACACUUUCUGUGGGGAUGAUUCUCAAAUGUGGCUGCUCUGCCUCUUUGCAAAAAUACACAGGUCCCUGUAGAGAUCUUUCCAGUCCUAUUCUGGUGCUCCUGGUGACGAUUCCUCAAGUUCAUUCUCAAUUCCCCCCCUCCUGUUCAUUCUUAAACCUGUUCCCAUUAUCUUUGUCACCAAGGUCACUGUUGACCUUCAUUUUGCUGAACUGCAUAGCCAAGCCUCAGGCCUCAUCUUCUGAUCCCCACUGGAUGCAUCCAAUGCGACCACUCACGCCCUCUUUCCUAGCAGAGUCUUCACUGGCAUCAGACCUCAGGUAUCCUCAGCUGUCUCUAAGUGACUGGAACACUCCAGGGCUCACUUCUUGGGCUUCUUUUUGCUGUAAUUCAAACCCUUGAAAAAUCCCCUACAGUGUCAUGGUUUUGAAUGCCAUCUUUGCCCUGAUGGCUCUCCAGUUCAUCCCUCCAGGACUGUGCUCACUCAGCACCUGCUGUUGGGUGUUAAAUAGACACCUCAGACACAACAUGUCAAAAAGAUUCCCAGUCCCUUUUCCACAGCUGUGAUUCUCUUAAUCCUUCACCCCAUCCAUGCCCCCAUCUCAGUUAAAGGCAACUUGAUUUAUCCAGUCUCUUGCCAAAAAUCUUUGAAGUUAUCUUUCUUCUCUUUCUCUUACAAUGCACAUCUAAAUCUCUCUGGUGCUGGCAAAAUAUAACCAACAUGCAAUCUCCUCUUGCCACAGCUACCACUUCUUCAUCCACUGACUCUUGGCUCUACACAACAGCACUAUACUCCCGACAUCCAUCCCUACACACUCCCUUUUCUAUACUCACUAGUUCCAGUAAACCUUAAAAAAAGCAAUCAGAUGGUGGGGGGGGGGUUCAGUCAGAAGAGUGUAUACCAGCUGGGUGUUGGUGGCGCACGCCUUUAUUGCCAGCACUCAAGA